ACACUUCUGCUGAACCUGGAGAGAGCAUCCAUGGUCAGUGCUUUUUGCAUGCUACAAUGGAGGAGUAUAUGUAAAUGCAGUUUAGGGUUGUUUUUUCCUUACCUCCCACACACCCCCUUCCCCCCACAUUCCUAGAUAUCAGUAUCCUGAUCUAUUGAUACUUUUGGAAUGUUAAGUGAUGGAGGUAUGUGGGUCUUUCUCUCUUUUUUCCUUUUGUUUUCUUCUUUCUUGUAGUUUUCUGUAUUGGCUGAUAGAAGUUUGUAAUAUAUUGCUCAGCAUUGCAAUGGAAGUUUUGUCUAGAGCUUGAGGGAAUUGAGUUCAACAUGUACUUAUUUUAGUUACUAACUUGCAAAUAAACUUUGAGAUAUGCUUUAAUAGCUCACUUUUAUAAUAGUAUGAAGGAGUUAUU